rnacentral:rRNA from 1 species
GGGUUGUGAGGUUAAGCGACUAAGCGUACACGGUGGAUGCCCUGGCAGUCAGAGGCGAUGAAGGGCGUGCUAAUCUGCGAUAAGCGCCGGUAAGGUGAUAUGAACCGUUAUAACCGGCGAUACCCGAAUGGGGAAACCCAGUGUGACUCGUCACACUAUCAUUAACUGAAUCCAUAGGUUAAUGAGGCGAACCGGGGGAACUGAAACAUCUAAGUACCCCGAGGAAAAGAAAUCAACCGAGAUUCCCCCAGUAGCGGCGAGCGAACGGGGAGGAGCCCAGAGCCUGAAUCAGCAUGUGUGUUAGUGGAAGCGUCUGGAAAGGCGCGCGAUACAGGGUGACAGCCCCGUACACAAAAGCGCAUGUGCUGUGAGCUCGAUGAGUAGGGCGGGACACGUGGUAUCCUGUCUGAAUAUGGGGGGACCAUCCUCCAAGGCUAAAUACUCCUGACUGACCGAUAGUGAACCAGUACCGUGAGGGAAAGGCGAAAAGAACCCCGGCGAGGGGAGUGAAAAAGAACCUGAAACCGUGUACGUACAAGCAGUGGGAGCCCCACCACUAAGCCAGUGGUGAACUCCACAUACGCAUCCUUUGCUGAGGAUACGGUUAACGGAGCGAAAGCGACGUUCAACCUCAAAAGAAGCAGAGGGGGCUUAGUGGUGGGGUGACUGCGUACCUUUUGUAUAAUGGGUCAGCGACUUAUAUUCUGUAGCAAGGUUAACCGAAUAGGGGAGCCGGAGGGAAA